rnacentral:lncRNA from 1 species
CGGUGCAGGCACGCCCACCGCCCAACCAAGUCCACACAGCCUCGCAACACCCUAGCACAGCAGACAGCGCCAGCCAGCCUUCGCUUAGUCGGCCUGCGCCAGCCAGCCUUCGCUGGACUGCCUUCGCCAGACUGCAUUCGCCAAGCAGGUCUCUCCACUGUGUAGAUGCGCCCACAGCUCCAGCCGCCGCCGCCCGGAAGACGCCGGUCCUGGCUCCCGCCGCAGCGUGCCCCGGUUCACGCGCAGCGAGCCCGGCGCCACGUCAGGCCGCGGCAGCAGCCCACAGCAAGAGUCGCCAGCAGCUCCAAUCGGCCCUCCGUUACCGAAAGAGCCGCUCAGCGACACGCCACUGCGAGCCCGGCAGCAGCAAGCGCCCCGCCAGAAGCAUCGCGAAGCCAUGAGGACGAGGUCGACCGGCGAGCAGGCGCGCCACCCACGCUAGGUCGCGAAGGCUCCACGGUGUGAGAUCAUGAUGGUCGGCAAAGAUUGCCAGAGCGGGGACCGCUCGGCAGGACGGCGACGAUGAUGUCGCCGACUGAGUGUCGCGCCGCAGCCAGAGCAGUACUGACGCACUACAGCUGACCUAAGCAACGCCAGGGACGCCAUGGAGGCGCCACAGGGGAUUGGCGCGGCCACGAAGGCCGGCCAGGAACUACUACCGACAAGGAGGGUCAGGGCGCCGAGGCGCCCUAACGCAACCAAGCGGAGUUGUGGUUAGCGAAUUUGGGGGAGGGGGGUUUAGCGAAUAGAGGUUACAUGUGGGAUGACAGCCACGGGCAAGCCAGGGCUCCAUAAACGCACGAGACACGUACGCACACUCGAGGAGGGAACCUCGAAUGACCCCCACGCUCCUCGCCUCACUAAAGGAGGGGAGGAACCCCGAGCAAGGCUCACCGCAAACGCUAGCGCUGCUCACCUAAGCCGCGGGUCGGCGUCAGACUGACUGCCACUUUGCAAAGUGCAACUCCUACCCCAAAACACCAGCACCAACAGGGCAGGGCCCUCACACUGUUGGGUGCAGCCCGAAGCUGCAUCCUGUAGACGGCCCAGGGCCGUGCAAGUUCGCUGAACCACGAGGAUCAGCCGGUCCGACCCACCAGACAGCACAAGCCACAGCGCCCGCAACCUAGCACAGGCGGUGCAGGCACGCCCACCGCCCAACCAAGUCCACACAGCCUCGCAACACCCUAGCACAGCAGACAGCGCCAGCCAGCCUUCGCAUAGUCGGCCUGCGCCAGCCAGCCUUCGCUGGACUGCCUUCGCCAGACUGCAUUCGCCAAGCAGGUCUCUCCACUGUGUAGAUGCGCCCACAGCUCCAGCCGCCGCCGCCCGGAAGACGCCGGUCCUGGCUCCCGCCGCAGCGUGCCCCGGUUCACGCGCGGCGAGCCCGGCGCCACGUCAGGCCGCGGCAGCAGCCCACAGCAAGAGUCGCCAGCAGCUCCAAUCGGCCCUCCGUUACCGAAAGAGCCGCUCAGCGACACGCCACUGCGAGCCCGGCAGCAGCGAGCGCUCCGCCAGAAGCAUCGCGAAGCCAUGAG